GUAAACGGCCUUCUUCGCGCCUUACAAUGCAGUCGAACGGGAUCCAUCGUGGCUUUGCUUGGUGGUGAGAGUGGCGAACGGGUGAGUAAUGCGUGACCGACCUGCCCCAUGCACCGGAAUAGCUCCUGGAAACGGGUGGUAAUGCCGGAUGCUCCAUCACACCGCAUGGUGUGUUGGGAAAGCCUUUGCGGCAUGGGAUGGGGUCGCGUCCUAUCAGCUUGAUGGCGGGGUAACGGCCCACCAUGGCUUCGACGGGUAGCCGGCCUGAGAGGGCGACCGGCCACAUUGGGACUGAGAUACGGCCCAGACUCCUACGGGAGGCAGCAGUGGGGAAUAUUGCACAAUGGGCGCAAGCCUGAUGCAGCGACGCCGCGUGAGGGAUGGAGGCCUUCGGGUUGUAAACCUCUUUUGUUAGGGAGCAAGGCACUUUGUGUUGAGUGUACCUUUCGAAUAAGCACCGGCUAACUACGUGCCAGCAGCCGCGGUAAUACGUAGGGUGCAAGCGUUAUCCGGAAUUAUUGGGCGUAAAGGGCUCGUAGGCGGUUCGUCGCGUCCGGUGUGAAAGUCCAUCGCUUAACGGUGGAUCCGCGCCGGGUACGGGCGGGCUUGAGUGCGGUAGGGGAGACUGGAAUUCCCGGUGUAACGGUGGAAUGUGUAGAUAUCGGGAAGAACACCAAUGGCGAAGGCAGGUCUCUGGGCCGUUACUGACACUGAGGAGCGAAAGCGUGGGGAGCGAACUGGAUUAGAUACCCUGGUAGUCCACGCCGUAAACGGAUGGAUGCUGGAUGUGGGGCCCGUUCCACGGGUUCCGUGUCGGAGCUAACGCGUUUAAGCAUCCCGCCUGGGGUAGUACCGGCCGCAAGGAUAAAACUCAAAGAAAUUGACGGGGGCCCGCACAACCGGGGAGCUAUGCGAUUAAUUCGAUGCACGCGAAAACUUACUGGGCUUGUAUGUUCCCGACAAUCCCCAAAUGGAGUUCCCUUCGUGCGGUUUUACGGUGCUCAUGGUACGUCGUCAGCUCGUGUCGUGAGAUGUUGAGUAAGUCUGCAUGAGCGCAACCUCUCCCGUGAUACCUGCGACUGU
rnacentral:rRNA from 1 species